CCUACGGGAGGCAGCAGUAAGGAAUAUUGGACAAUGGGCGCAAGCCUGAUCCAGCCAUGCCGCGUGAAGGAUUAAGGUCCUCUGGAUUGUAAACUUCUUUUAUAGGGGACGAAAAAAGGGCAUUCUUGCUCACUUGACGGUACCCUAUGAAUAAGCACCGGCUAACUCCGUGCCAGCAGCCGCGGUAAUACGGAGGGUGCAAGCGUUAUCCGGAUUCACUGGGUUUAAAGGGUGCGUAGGCGGGCAGUUAAGUCAGUGGUGAAAUCUCCGAGCUCAACUCGGAAACUGCCAUUGAUACUAUCUGUCUUGAAUAUUGUGGAGGUAAGCGGAAUAUGUCAUGUAGCGGUGAAAUGCUUAGAUAUGACAUAGAACACCUAUUGCGAAGGCAGCUUACUACGCAUAUAUUGACGCUGAGGCACGAAAGCGUGGGGAUCAAACAGGAUUAGAUACCCUGGUAGUCCACGCCCUAAACGAUGGAUACUCGACAUACGCGAUACACUGUGUGUGUNUGNGNGAAGACAUAGUAUACCACCGNGGAGUACGUCCGCGAGAGAGAACGUUAAGUAGAGUAGAGGCGNGAGACGNGCGAGGACGACACGAGGGAGUUAGG
rnacentral:rRNA from 1 species